rnacentral:rRNA from 1 species
UGUAGUCUUCAUACCACCCUGAAUAUGCCCAAUCUCACCUGAUCUCAGAAACUAAGUAGGAUGAGGAUAGCUUGGGAGUGUGUAGAUGGUGCCUUGAUUCACCAAGUAUAUAAAGCCAUCAACUCUGCAC